GGUUAAGCGACUAAGCGUACACGGUGGAUGCCCUGGCAGUCAGAGGCGAUGAAGGACGUGCUAAUCUGCGAAAAGCGCCGGCGAGGUGAUAUGAACCCUUGACCCGGCGAUGUCCGAAUGGGGAAACCCAGUGUGUUCCGACACACUAUCGUUAACUGAAUACAUAGGUUAACGAGGCGAACCGGGGGAACUGAAACAUCUAAGUACCCCGAGGAAAAGAAAUCAACCGAGAUUCCCCCAGUAGCGGCGAGCGAACGGGGAGCAGCCCGGAGUCUGAAUCAGCUUGUGUGUUAGUGGAACGGUCUGGAAAGUCCGACGGUACAGGGUGAUAGUCCCGUACACGAAAAUGCACAUGCUGUGAACUCGAAGAGUAGGGCGGGACACGUGGUAUCCUGUCUGAAUAUGGGGGGACCAUCCUCCAAGGCUAAAUACUCCUGACUGACCGAUAGUGAACCAGUACCGUGAGGGAAAGGCGAAAAGAACCCCGGCGAGGGGAGUGAAAAAGAACCUGAAACCGUGUACGUACAAGCAGUGGGAGCACCUUCGGGUGUGACUGCGUACCUUUUGUAUAAUGGGUCAGCGACUUAUAUUCUGUAGCAAGGUUAACCGUAUAGGGGAGCCGAAGGGAAACCGAGUCUUAACUGGGCGUUAAGUUGCAGGGUAUAGACCCGAAACCCGGUGAUCUAGCCAUGGGCAGGUUGAAGGUUGGGUAACACUAACUGGAGGACCGAACCGACUAAUGUUGAAAAAUUAGCGGAUGACCUGUGGCUGGGGGUGAAAGGCCAAUCAAACCGGGAGAUAGCUGGUUCUCCCCGAAAGCUAUUUAGGUAGCGCCUCGUGAAUUCAUCUUCGGGGGUAGAGCACUGUUUCGGCUAGGGGGCCAUCCCGGCUUACCAACCCGAUGCAAACUACGAAUACCGAAGAAUGUUAUCACGGGAGACACACGGCGGGUGCUAACGUCCGUCGUGAAGAGGGAAACAACCCAGACCGCCAGCUAAGGUCCCAAAGUCAUGGUUAAGUGGGAAACGAUGUGGGAAGGCACAGACAGCCAGGAUGUUGGCUUAGAAGCAGCCAUCAUUUAAAGAAAGCGUAAUAGCUCACUGGUCGAGUCGGCCUGCGCGGAAGAUGUAACGGGGCUAAACCAUGCACCGAAGCUGCGGCAGCGACACUUAUGUGUUGUUGGGUAGGGGAGCGUUCUGUAAGCCGUUGAAGGUGUGCUGUGAGGCAUGCUGGAGGUAUCAGAAGUGCGAAUGCUGACAUAAGUAACGAUAAAGCGGGUGAAAAGCCCGCUCGCCGGAAGACCAAGGGUUCCUGUCCAACGUUAAUCGGGGCAGGGUGAGUCGACCCCUAAGGCGAGGCCGAAAGGCGUAGUCGAUGGGAAACAGGUUAAUAUUCCUGUACUUGGUGUUACUGCGAAGGGGGGACGGAGAAGGCUAUGUCAGCCGGGCGACGGUUGUCCCGGUUUAAGCAUGUAGGCGGAGGUUCCAGGUAAAUCCGGUACCUUAUUAACGCUGAGGUGUGAUGACGAGGCACUACGGUGCUGAAGUGAUAAAUGCCCUGCUUCCAGGAAAAGCCUCUAAGCAUCAGGUAACACGAAAUCGUACCCCAAACCGACACAGGUGGUCAGGUAGAGAAUACCAAGGCGCUUGAGAGAACUCGGGUGAAGGAACUAGGCAAAAUGGUGCCGUAACUUCGGGAGAAGGCACGCUGAUAGGUAGGUGAAGCCCCUGCGGGCGGAGCUGAAAUCAGUCGAAGAUACCAGCUGGCUGCAACUGUUUAUUAAAAACACAGCACUGUGCAAACACGAAAGUGGACGUAUACGGUGUGACGCCUGCCCGGUGCCGGAAGGUUAAUUGAUGGGGUUAGCGGCAACGCGAAGCUCUUGAUCGAAGCCCCGGUAAACGGCGGCCGUAACUAUAACGGUCCUAAGGUAGCGAAAUUCCUUGUCGGGUAAGUUCCGACCUGCACGAAUGGCGUAAUGAUGGCCAGGCUGUCUCCACCCGAGACUCAGUGAAAUUGAACUCGCUGUGAAGAUGCAGUGUACCCGCGGCAAGACGGAAAGACCCCGUGAACCUUUACUAUAGCUUGACACUGAACACUGGUCCUUGAUGUGUAGGAUAGGUGGGAGGCUUUGAAGCGUGGACGCCAGUCUGCGUGGAGCCGCCCUUGAAAUACCACCCUUUAAUGGCUGGUGUUCUAACGUAGACCCGUAAUCCGGGUUGCGGACAGUGUCUGGUGGGUAGUUUGACUGGGGCGGUCUCCUCCCAAAGAGUAACGGAGGAGCACGAAGGUUGGCUAAUCCUGGUCGGACAUCAGGAGGUUAGUGCAAUGGCAUAAGCCAGCUUGACUGCGAGCGUGACGGCGCGAGCAGGUGCGAAAGCAGGUCAUAGUGAUCCGGUGGUUCUGAAUGGAAGGGCCAUCGCUCAACGGAUAAAAGGUACUCCGGGGAUAACAGGCUGAUACCGCCCAAGAGUUCAUAUCGACGGCGGUGUUUGGCACCUCGAUGUCGGCUCAUCACAUCCUGGGGCUGAAGUAGGUCCCAAGGGUAUGGCUGUUCGCCAUUUAAAGUGGUACGCGAGCUGGGUUUAGAACGUCGUGAGACAGUUCGGUCCCUAUCUGCCGUGGGCGCUGGAGAAUUGAGGGGGGCUGCUCCUAGUACGAGAGGACCGGAGUGGACGCAUCACUGGUGUUCGGGUUGUCAUGCCAAUGGCACUGCCCGGUAGCUAAAUGCGGAAGAGAUAAGUGCUGAAAGCAUCUAAGCACGAAACUUGCCCCGAGAUGAGUUCUCCCUGAGACUUUAAGUCUCCUGAAGGAACGUUGAAGACGACGACGUUGAUAGGUCGGGUGUGUAAGCGCAGCGAUGCGUUGAGCUAACCGAUACUAAUGAACCGUGAGGCUUAACCUU
rnacentral:rRNA from 1 species